rnacentral:rRNA from 1 species
UACACCUACGGGACGCAGCAGUGAGGAAUAUUGGUCAAUGGACGGAAGUCUGAACCAGCCAAGUCGCGUGAGGGAGUACUGCCCUAUGGGUUGUAAACCUCUUUUGUCGGGGAGCAAAAGCCGGACGUGUCCGGCUGUGAGAGUACCCGAAGAAAAAGCAUCGGCUAACUCCGUGCCAGCAGCCGCGGUAAUACGGAGGAUGCGAGCGUUAUCCGGAUUUAUUGGGUUUAAAGGGUGCGUAGGCGGUUUUUUAAGUUAGUGGUUAAACGUCGGGGCUUCACCUUGAUUUGCCAUUAAUACUGUAA